rnacentral:lncRNA from 1 species
CUUAGUUAACAACAAUAAAAGGGCCUGUGUUUCAAACUGAGACAGAAAAGGAGAAGUUUAAAGAUGGGAAGCAAGAACAGGAACUGAGUCAAGAUGUGAGUUCAUAGAGCGUUAUUGAAUUUUUUACUUUGAUCGUCUUCAGAAACAAUGAAAUGUGUUUAUAUUUGUAGUAAAGACACAUCAGUCCACUUCAUCACUAACUUAAAGUGAAGCCAGUGAGUUUGUGUGUAAAGAAAACAUUGAAGUUUAAUCUGAUGUUUGAAUUGGACAAACAGGUAUUAUCUAAUGUUACACUGUAAAAAAUCUGAACACCUUUUACUCUCUAACUAUGAAAUCAGUGAGAUGUUUACAGUGUCUGCAGUACCCUCGUGUCUCAUUGUUCCUGAGUUGUGGUUCACACAUGGAGACUUGUUCUGGAAGUGAAAGUAAACUUUUCUUUGUGCGUCAGCAGUUUCUGGUGACAUGUUAGCUGUUCUGGCUGUCAGUGAGUUUAGGUUGUUUCAUUGUGUUUGCUGAAGAUUUGACAGAAGCACCAGGCUGAAGAUGUUUCUGCUAUUUCUGCUCCUCAUGAACGUUUCCCAGCAUGCUCUGGCUGUGGAGGUAGAAGGAAAUGCAGAGGCAGAGUCUGUCCAGCUGCCCUGUCAGCACUCAGGUUUUAUACCUGACGACAAUCCCACAGUGACGUGGACCCGCAAUGAUCUCGAUCCCACAACUGUCCACCUGCGACGAGAAGAAGGAGAUGAUCUUAAAGGACAAAACCGGCGUUACAGCGGGCGCACAUCGAUGAGGCCUGAUGCUCUGGACUCUUUAGACUUCAGCCUCACUCUGAGAAAACCACGACUGACCGACAGCGGCAAAUAUAGCUGCACCCUCAGUGAUGGAAGAGAAGAACGACAACUGACAACCGUUCAGCUGCAAGUCAAAGGUGAGAAAUAAUUGUAGUAAAGCGCUUUGGGUGCCUUGAAAAGCGCUAUAUAAAUCCAAUCCAUUAUUAUUAAUUGUCAAAAGUCAGUAUUGUAGACAACGGUCAGACAUAAUUAGUUCUGAAACAUCAACACAACACACAAUAGAAAAAACUUCUACAACUUCUGGUAUAUUUUAUAAAU